rnacentral:lncRNA from 1 species
CGAGCCCGGGGAGCGCCCGGCGGCCUCCGCUGACUCACGGGCCGCUCCCUCCCGCCCGACGCGCAUGCGCCGCGCGCGGGUGAGGGCUUUCGCUUUUCGCCGCUUCUCCCACAGGUGGCGGCUUCUGCAGGCGGUGAGUGCCCCGCCGCCUGCCCCCAGCGCCCGGCCGGAGCCGUGCCUCAUCCUGCCUCAGCGCAGGCAGUGCCACGGCGGCACCUCACGCGCUGUUAUAAAAAGCGCUUUAGCAACUUGAAGCUCUCCAGGAUAGCUUAGGUGAUCGCUUAUCUGGCUGCCACGAACUGUCUCAGGCGUCCCUCGAUUUGUUUGUGCGCUGUGAGGAGCGUGGGAAUGCACCAGAAGCUCGCUUGGCAGGGAACGUGGAUAAUUAAUGUGCCUGAUCAUCCACCAAGCGUUUGAUCACUUAGGAAAAUGACUGUGGUGCCCGUCUUUAACAUACCCGAUGAGAUUUUUCAACAAGGUUUACUGGCACGUAACUUCUUUAACAGUCAUCCACUGAUGAGCAGUGCCAAUGUAAAGUGUGCCUGUAUGCCCAGCGGAGGCAGAUGGGAGUGAACUGCUGUGUGCAAUGAUUAAAUGAACACCCCUCUCCCCACAGUCCUAUCACAGCCGUGCCGGGUGAACGAGGAGCACUGCAGCAGAUGCCGUGUCAUUAACCAGCAGAUGGACAGCACUGGAGUUAAAUACUAAAUUACUGCCAGUUGUGGAGUCAUAAAGGCAGGAGUCUGGACUGCUCGAGAUGUGAGUCAAGCAUGUGGAACUCCAGGUAACGGGAAAUUAGCUCCCAUUAACCAUUUUCUUUAAAGUCUAAGAUCUUUUGCGACUCCUUAAAAUAUAAUUCAUGCUAUUGCUUCUUCAGAAGCUUUGUAGGACUGCAACUCUGUGGUAGCAGCCAGCAGUGACAGAAUAAAGCCCAUAUCAUUUGAGCUGGGGUUGAACAGAAGCACUUAAAUAUGCCAUCACUGAUGAGCUAAGCCCACGAGAGGAGGAUAACGCAGGGUCGCAUUUUUAAACCAUACUGGUUCAUGAUUUUGCUUACUUCUUACAAAAGAAAAUAUUACACAGAUAUUAAUUCCAAGCAGUAAGUGCUAGCUAAGACCAGUUUUUCAGAUCAGCAGUUGCUCUUAUGUAGCUAUGUGACUAUGAUUACACCGCACAAAGUAACCUAUCUGAAGAUUCACAGGACAGGACUACUGCCAAAACAGAUACAGUUAACCUUCUCUACUAAAGAUCUGCAUGGAAAUCCAGCAGUAAACUAAGCACAUAGUUACGUUUUCACAGAUGAUAUUACAAACACUAGGUGUAAAGCAGAAUGGUUCCAAUGACUGAAAAAACAGGGAUCAGCUGUUUGUUCUAAUACACAGCUUAGUAUUUUUAUCAAGAAAAGCAAACAGGAAGCUGCAGUAGCUCAGUAUUCCCUGCACUAUUCUAAACAAAACAAACCCAAACCAAAACAGCACACACUUAAGACAUUCCGCAUACAAAGAUUCUGGUCAGGAACACAAACUCUGAAACCUAAACAUAAACAAGCGCCGUUUUGCAAUGUAACAUUGAUAGUAUUUUACAUCCAGAAAAAAAAAAAAUAUGCAAUUUGAUUUCAAUUACAUCAACAGAACCAUAGCUGUAACAACACAGAAAACAAUUUAAUUGGCUUUGAAAUAAAUAAAUAUUUGACAUACAAAGCACAUACAGUGAGAAGGGUCACAAUAAAUUACUAAUGGAGUUACUUGCUCAUUCACUGAGAAAAGCCCUUGGUAUUUCCAAUUUUAUACCAUCAAAUUUAUCAUUCUUGCUGAUUUAAGCACAGCACUAAACAAAUAUGGAUCCCAAUGCUUUCUUUCACAGGUACUGGCAUGGAUAAUUUACUGCAGUGAUCCAAUUUGAAAAUCAGUAGGGACCGGUAAAUUGCUGCAUAAAAGAAAGAGCGAAUGAGGUGCUUUUUCCUUAGUGUCAGCAGCCUGUGAUUAUUAUGUUUAUUAGAUUUUCUUGAAAGGGCUUCACAUUUUCUCAAAUAUGCAGGAGAACUGUAUUUCCCCUCAGAGCCUUACAUUAGCAUUUUGUGCCUCAGUCCUUCAAUGCAAGUAAAAGAUGAAUUUCUCAAUUCAUUUGAGAAAUUUGUACCAUCUGGAUGGCACGGAGCGGAGCAAUGAAACUCCCUUACCUGGGCAAUAUCUGCCAUUAUCACAGGGCUGGCUUCUGCAAAAAGUUUAAUAAGUAACGCUGACAGUUCAUUAAAAAGGUAUUUUUGAAUCCACGUUUAAGAUUAAAUUCAAUUACAUGAUCCAUACUGAUAACGUAUCUUUGGAAUAAAGGAUAGCUUGAGAAUCUGUAAGGAUUGACUUUCCUGUGAUUUUUUUUAAGAAACUUACACCACAUUAAGAGUUCUAUUACAGGGAUGCACUAUUUCAGUAUACUUCAACCACAAAUAUAUGCAGCAAUUAUAGACAACUGCAACAGAUCAGCAAAGCCUAUUAAAAUCUGGCACAGAAAGUGCUCAUGAUCUCACUGUCACAUAUUUCUUUCCUCAACAGAAAGACACCAGAGCCAUACCUAGCUCUUGCAGGUAGGAAGCAGUUUUUGACAACAUUUUAAAAGAACAUGCUCUUCUAACUCUAUGGUCUUUGCCAGCCUUAAUCUGAGCACUGCAAGAUACAGUCCUUUUUGGAAAUAGGACCAAAUCAUACAUGGUAUAGCAACAAAUCACCAGCCCCUCCAUGCCAACUUUUGUUUUUUCCUCCCAUU